rnacentral:lncRNA from 1 species
GGGGGAGGGGUUGACAAUGGAUAGCUCUGAGGAGGAAAUGAUAUGGGACCCAAAUCUAGCAAAAAGAUGUGGUGCCAUGUAUGCCACUCACAGUAAAGAGUAGAUUUAGCCAAUGGAACUGUGACGAUGAUGGUUCAAGGCUUCUAACCAUAUGUAUAGCAGGGGCUUAGCGUUGCACCUCGCAGCAGUUAUACACAAGGAAUGGAGACAGGAAAAAAGUUCUUGAGGAUACAUCCAUGGCAGGAUCUGACUACUUCCAUAACGAUUCAUGGUGGACAAGUAAUAAAAAGAUAAAGAUUGAAAGCGGAUUAAAAAAACCCAAGAUUCCAAAGUGAGCGUAGCUCAGCUGGUAAGGUUCCAUGUGGUCGACCAGGGUUCGAGUCCUCGACUCAGUACUGGUGCUUGUAUUUUCAUGGAUUUAUUUCAGGAUUUAACCGACACUAUUUUUUAGUUGUAGGCAAAGUGAUCGCCGACAGCGAGGCGUCAGUGGUGACUUCGUCAAUCUCGAGGAUUUGCCAGCUCAAUCUUUCGCAGGUGCUCAUAGGGUUAG